rnacentral:rRNA from 1 species
AUCUGCGCAUGGCUCAUUACAUCAGACGUAAUCUGCCGCAAAAAUCAUGCGGUUUCCGCAUAAUUGGAUAACUUGGCGAAACGCCAAGCUAAUACAUGAACCAAACGGAUGCUCUCUGUUACGUCCAGCGAAUGAAUGAAAGUAAAACCAAUGCCUCUUUUGACGAACAACUGCCCUAUCAGCUAGUGAUGGCCGUGUAGUGGACUGCCAUGGCGUUGACGGGAGCGGGGGAUUAGGGUUCGAUUCCGGAGAGGGAGCCUGAGAAAUAGCUACCACUUCUACGGAGGGCAGCAGGCGCGCAAAUUGCCCAAUGUCAAAAAAAAACGAUGAGGCAGCGAAAAGAAAUAGAGCCGACAGCGCUUUUUGCGUUGUCGUUUUCAAUGGGGGAUAUUUAAACCCAUCCAAAAUCGAGUAACAAUUGGAGGACAAGUCUGGUGCCAGCACCCGCGGUAAUUCCAGCUCCAAAAGCGUAUAUUAAUGCUGUUGCUGUUAAAGGGUUCGUAGUUGAAUUGAGGGCCUGAAACAAGAAACNCGGGAGUGGUACCCUUCUGAUUUUCGCAUGUCAUGCAUGCCAGGGGGCGCCCGUGAUUUUUACUGUGACUAAAAAAGUGUGACCAAAGCAGUCAGUCGACUUGAAUUANAAAGCAUGGGAUAACAAAGGAGCAGCCUAUGGGCCACCGUUUCGGCUUUUGUUGGUUUUAAAAGUCCAUUGGANAUUAUGGGACCAGGAAUGAAGGAG